rnacentral:rRNA from 1 species
AGUGAACGCUGGCGGUAGGCCUAACACAUGCAAGUCGAACGGCAGCACAGUAAGAGCUUGCUCUUACGGGUGGCGAGUGGCGGACGGGUGAGGAAUACAUCGGAAUCUACUUUUUCGUGGGGGAUAACGUAGGGAAACUUACGCUAAUACCGCAUCCGCCCUACGGGUGAAAGCAGGGGAUCUUCGGACCUUGCGCGAUUGAAUGAGCCGCUGUCGGAUUAGCUAGUUGGCGGGGUAAAGGCCCACCAAGGCGACGAUCCGUAGCUGGUCUGAGAGGAUGAUCAGCCACACGGGAACUGAGACACGGUCCAGACUCCUACGGGAGGCAGCAGUGGGGAAUAUUGGACAAUGGGCGCAAGCCUGAUCCAGCCAUACCGCGUGGGUGAAGAAGGCCUUCGGGUUGUAAAGCCCUUUUGUUGGGAAAGAAAAGCAGCAGGUUAAUACCCCGCUGUUCUGACGGUACCCAAAGAAUAAGCACCGGCUAACUUCGUG